CCAUUUUACAUUUAAAGAAGCAGAAACAGAGACAGCUGAAGUAACUGAUUCAAGAUCACCUAACAGAAUUGGCACUGGACAUGGAUCACUCCAAAAGAUUCGUCUUUGUACUUUUUUUUUCCGUUGGCAACCCAGUCCUCCAACCACUGGCCGUAAAAUAACAAGGAGAAGCUACAAAAAUGAAACAAAACAAAACAAAAUAAACAAAAAAACCAAAGUGGAAGAAAGAAAAGGAAAAGAGAAAAACAGUUUGUUCUUGAGUACGCAGCUGGGUAUGUUUCCCAAACUCCUUUGCACUAAGGUGAGAGGCUAUGACUGAGUUCCAGCUAAUGGAAUGUGAGCAGAGGUGAUGAGCACAACAUCCAGGCCUGGCCCAUCUUCAUGCUGUCUCUUCCUUCGCCAGUUACCAAACUCUGGCUGCAAAAAAUAAUGCUCGGAGCUUUGGAAAAGGCAAAGGCUUAUAAAACACAUCAAUGCCCUUGAAGAGAAGACACGUGGGAAAGGGGAAAUGGUCCAGGGUAAGAUUGAUCUCAGAGCCCGCUAAGAUGUCCCAGCCCAUAGUUUGAAAACAUGGUUCAUGCUCUAUACCUGAGAAAUAGUCAUUGGCUAAUCUAAAUACCUUUAGUUAUUCCUUCCAAGAACCUUCCGCCUCCUCCUGUCUCCCCAGCGUGCACACCCCGCCCCCAGUAGGAGUCAAUCACAGACCAGCACCAGUGGAAUUAUUCUCUCAUCCUUGGGGGUCUUUGUAGGCUACAGUUAAUAAACCUCGUUAGACUCAGAUUGUUCUUCCUGGGAAGUGAUUUAUAUUGGACAACAACAAAAAAAGACCAGAGGACUCUUUUCCCUGCACAGUAUAUUAUUUCCUGCGAUUCAUCAAAAUUCUUUUCAUGGGUAAAGGUCACCUUUCAUUUAUGUAUGGCAUCUGCAUGCAUGUUGUUGAAAAGGGUGUGGCUCUCAAAACAUAAAUCAGGCUUCUCAUGUUGAUGGAAAAACUCACGAAAAGUUGCCAGAGGGAGGGUGAAGGCAGUGAAUGAAUGGUGAGAAGAAGCCCACGUCCCAUCAGACUUUCUAGCGCGAGGAGCUCAGCCCACCUGACUUGGCCUAAAAGAGGGAAAGAUGUAAAAAAAAAAAACAAAAAAAAACCCCCAAUCUGAGCAGGAUCAUAGGACUCUGCAUUUUCUAGGAGUUGUAAUGCUUUUUAGAAAUUACUUAAAAAAUUUUAAAAAGCACUUGAGUUGACUGUAAACAGAGACAAAAUUGCUGUUAGCCCUGGAAACACUGAACCAGCUCGUUGGAGAGGUCUGAAAGCUAGAACUCCAUGCUCUCUUUUCAUCUGGUGCAGGGGUUGGCAGCUUGAAGACAGGCCCGAUGGUCUGGAUUUGAAUCUCGACCCUCCUUUUACCAGAGGUGUGACUUGGCGCAAGUGACUUGCCUCUCUGGCCCACCAUUUCCUCAACCACAAAAUACAAAGAAUCCCACCAUUUUCCUUAGGUUGUCCUUUGGGUUGAAUUACUCCCUAUUUGGGAAGCACUGAGCACUAAUCCCUUGGGUAUGGUAAGUACGAUAAGGCGCCGUUAACCACCUUGUUGAAAAGAAGACUAAAACAUAUCAGCCCUUCGGGGCGGGAGAAACGGAAACACAAAUUUUGAAAAUAAGGUGGAAGAAGUCGUGGGGCUGCUGUCCUGUUUGCUCUGCGGUGUGCAGGUUUGAUACCCAAGGUUACAACGCUGAAAUACCAUCCUAUGUGAAAACGUGGGAGCCAUUUUGAAAGAAGAAGAAGAAGAAGAAGAAGAAGAGGAAGAGGAAGAAGAAGAAGAAGAAAGAAGAAGAAAAACAAGCACUAAGAUCUCAGUCCCUCAGCCAGGACAGAGAAGAGGACUGUGUGAAAAACAGAAAACAGAGCUGUCAGUGAUUCCGAAAGGCCAGACGUGGCUGCGAGACCUCCCAGGGGCAGGCGAGGAAGGAAGAACUAGUAAGUUUAAAACCCCAAACUCUGGGGAGUGUCAAUAUACCCGGCACAAUUUGAGGAGAACAAUUAAAAACUGCGUGGGCAACAUUUGUUUAAAAAAAUUCUCUGGGUAAAUCUCAUAAAAAUGAAUGAUUAUAUGGGCAAAAGUCAACUGAAAUGGGUAAAAUGAGAAACCACAAGAAAGGCCCAUUGGAGUGUGGUCUCAGGGCUAAGGAAUGCCAUCCCCUUGUGAGACAUGCUCUUUUGAAAGGUAAAAAUAGAAACCAAAGAGAGACUCUGGAUCACUGGAAAACACUUCAUCGUGCUUUGUUCUCCGUUUCCUAGAAAUUGAAAUGGAAGCAUGACGUGGUUGCGUACACAUGUACAGGCGUGGGCGCGCGUUUGUGUAUCUGCAGAAUGCUUCUAUAGUCAGUAUAUCAAUACUCCACAUAUACAUGCAUAUUGAAUAUCAUUUUUUAGAAGAAUCUCCCUUUUCUUAACAGGUGCUUUAUGAAGUCACACUAGGAGAUGAAAAGGCCCCUGGAACCAAGUGGUUGUAGGCAUUACGCUGAACGAUGAUCCGCCCCACAGAAUACAUGGACAUUAUGUAUAUAAUUUGAGCCUGCUCCCUUAAAGAUUCCCACAAGGAAAUGAGAAUCCACCCAUGGCCAAAACGAAUCUCUGACAAAGAUGCACUUGAGGUAGUGGCCUGGAAAGGAGGCCUCUGGAGUUCAAGCUUGUGUCUGCUGCUUAGUCGCUGACUCAUUUUUAGUCAGUCAUUCAGCCCUCCCAGGUCUGAGUUUUCUCUCUUUGAACAGUGAGAAGUUGGCAAGGUCUUGGCAAGGUCUGGAGCUUGACUGUAAAAUCCUAUGAUUCCUUCACUGCUCUGUAUUUCUGAAAAAGGCUGUUCUGUUUGACCCUGCAAUGACAUAAGUGCGAUGUGUUUCGCUGGGCUCAAGGAAUAAGUAAAAGGAAAGUGGAGAAUAAAACCCCUUCGAGAACUGUUUCAGAUGGUAACACCUCUCUCCACAAGUCACCGAUUUAAUAGGGAGUUGGUGUCUAACGAGGCCAGAUGUAAUAUCUCUGAGUAACACUUUUCUGAUGUUACGUAAGGAAAAUAUAAGACAACUCUACUCUAGAAAGACCCAUUUUUCUUGUUCUGGCCACUCAAAGGGAAUUCCCUUCCUCACAGUAGUAGCAAGAAAAGUUGUCAGGUGAGAGGAAGGAACAGAUAACUUGAGAUCUGAGUAUUUGGCAUAAGAUUUGGCAGAAAAUUGUAUUUAUUUAGCAGAGCAACAAUUUAGGCUCUAUAUCUGAAAGUAGUUUUGCUAAGUCAUGAUUGAAUACACACAUUUGAAAAGAUGCUGGGAAUGUUUUAGGGUAUUUGGGUUUUUUAAAGAUUUUGCUUAUUUAUUUGAGAGAGAGAGAGA